ACGAACGCUGGCGGCGUGCUUAACACAUGCAAGUCGAACGGAAAGGCCCUGCUUUUGUGGGGUGCUCGAGUGGCGAACGGGUGAGUAACACGUGAGUAACCUGCCCUUGACUUUGGGAUAACUUCAGGAAACUGGGGCUAAUACCGGAUAGGAGCUCCUGCUGCAUGGUGGGGGUUGGAAAGUUUCGGCGGUUGGGGAUGGACUCGCGGCUUAUCAGCUUGUUGGUGGGGUAGUGGCCUACCAAGGCUUUGACGGGUAGCCGGCCUGAGAGGGUGACCGGCCACAUUGGGACUGAGAUACGGCCCAGACUCCUACGGGAGGCAGCAGUGGGAAUAUUGCACAAUGGGCGGAAGCCUGAUGCAGCAACGCCGCGUGCGGGAUGACGGCCUUCGGGUUGUAAACCGCUUUCGCCUGUGACGAAGCGUGAGUGACGGUAAUGGGUAAAGAAGCACCGGCUAACUACGUG
rnacentral:rRNA from 1 species